rnacentral:rRNA from 1 species
GAAUGUGUCAGCCUCUGUUAGGGCGAAACUCAAAUACAACUUUCAACAACGGAUCUCUUGGCUCUCGCAUCGAUGAAGAACGCAGCGAAAUGCGAUAAGUAAUGUGAAUUGCAGAAUUCAGUGAAUCAUCGAAUCUUUGAACGCACCUUGCGCUCCUUGGUAUUCCGAGGAGCAUGCCUGUUUGAGUGUCAUGUUAAUAUCAACCCCGUCGGUUUGUUAAUCAGACCGUUGGGUGUUGGACUUGGAGGUUCCUGCUGGCUGCAAAGUCGGCUCCUCUUGAAUGCAUUAGCUUGGGCCUGUUGUGCGUGCUCGCGGUGUAAUAAGUUUUAUUCAUCGUUUGGGUCGUACACCUAUUGGGCUUGCUUCUAACUGUCUUCGGACAAAUAUAACCUUUGACUCUGACCUCAAAUCAGGUAGGACUACCCGCUGAACUUAAGCAUAUCAAUAAGCGGAGGA